rnacentral:lncRNA from 13 species
CCAGUAUAUUAUCGUGCGAUCGUAAUCGUAUUUUCGCGAGUGAGUGAGUGAGUGAGUGAGUGCAACGAAUCCUGAUGAUCUGAGAGGAAGAGAAGGAAGACUGCGAGACAACCUCAGGUUAUUCCUUGAUAUGAAAAGGAACGAGAGAAAGCCAACGUCAAUCGUCGCCGAUUAAUUAUAAACUAAAUGAACCGUAGUCGGUUUGUCGCGUUUAUUACGGGAGUGCCAUUUAAAGUAAUUGGACUUAAUUAGUCCACGGGCGUAAUUUUAAUGUGUUAUUCGCGAGUAGACUGCGAAUGCAACAAGAUGAGAAGGCUCGACAACUUGAGUGUGAGAAGAGGCGAAGGCCCGGGAGGCAUCAUGCGUCGACAUACCAAUCUUUCAUUAACAUAGAACCUGAGAGAAGGAGAAGGCCUGGAAGAAGCAUUGGGCCCCAGUGGAGCAAUCUUCGG